GGCAGUUUCAUGCUGUCAUAUCUUUCUUUAUAUUUCUUUAUAUUUUUGGUCCUUUAACGAGUUAAAUAUAGCUACACAUUUCAACACAAAAGCAUUUGAAUACAUGUGGCCAAAUGAAACUGUUCGUGAGUGACAUAAAUCCGCGCUGUGUUUAGGUCUUAGGAGCAGUGCUAGAAUUUACUGUCAAAUGUGACGUUCAACAUGUCAACCACGAAGAGAGAGUGGUGCCCUACCUCAGCCGUCCAGCCUUGCCUACCCUGCUCCUUCCCAGUGGAACAUACCUCUUCAGCCCCAACACCAUCUGCCAGAUCCGUGAUGCCCUGAAGUCAGCCAGGUCGCAGUUGUAAAUGAGAACUUGUUCUCAACUGGCUUACCUGGUUAAAUAAAGCCUGUCUCUCGCUCGCUCUCUU